GGCUUGUCCAAAGGUAGUACAUUAUCUCAAUUGUUUGUUCAUAGUCAGUUAUAGAUCAAAUUCCUUGUUCAACUCUUUCCCCCUUCUCACUACUGUACUUGACUAGUCUUUA
ensembl:misc_RNA Y_RNA Y RNA